ACAUCUCUUGUAAACCACGUGCCAAUCAGUCUCAUCUCCCCUUCGCUUCCAUCUCCCUCUCUCUCUUUCCUUCCAAUUCUCUCUGGUUUGCUCGACCCUCUUCCCUCACCUCAAUCCGCUCCACUUCUCGCUGGAGCUUCGCCAGACCGGGUCUCUUCAUAAGACGGAGUAGUGGAGCUAUAUUGAUUACAGAGUAGUGGAGCAAAAAGAGAUCUUGAAGGGUUUAGCUCAGAUGGUUAUAUUGAUGGGAAUAUUGCAUUGUUGCUGGGAAGAAGGCUCUUGAACGUUCUUGUGGUGAGGAAGGAGAGAGAUGAAGAUAUUGUGCUCGUUGGGCCUCCUGUUUUCAGCUUUUGUACAAAGCAAGUGGUAGAGAACACAAUAACCUUGUUACGGGAUGAUGAUUGCAGAACUCGGAUGGCAAUGGUGGUAGAGCGUAUGUUGGCAAAGCUCAAGAUGUGAUGGCUACUGUUUUGGCCAAAGGUUAGUAGCAGAACAUAAAUUUGUUUUAGGGUCUCUUAAUUACUUGUCAUACAAGUUUCUAUAUAUCACUACAUUUACAAAUCAAAAUUAUUUUACUAAGAUAC